CGGAUAUAGUUUAGUGGCAGAACUUUAGCUUCCCAAGCUAAUAGUGCGGGUUCGAUUCCCGCUAUCCG
rnacentral:tRNA from 1 species